AGACUGCUGGUUGCCAUGGGGCGUGUUCAACACGUCGGAUGGGCUGCAUCAUGCCGCCUGUACCAACCGCCUGUGCCAGGGUGCUUGUCUGCUUGGUUGUCAAGGAAGACUCAAGUCAACAGAAGGGAAAGAUCCAUAAGGUGGGAAGAAAUGUUCUCCUUGAAUUGUGAUUCCGGAGACUAUGACUAAGGUUAUGAAACAGCCUAUUUCCUUUGCAGUUUUCCUGCCUUAUGACACAUCUCUUCUCAUUUUUCUCACAUUCUAGAGACCCAAUCUGAGAGGGAACGUGUAGUUUCCAUCCUUCUUGGCUUAUUAUUUUUAUUACUCCCCUCCUUAGAUGCUCUGUAAGCUUCCGAGUUUGUUUGUUUGUUUGUUUGUUUGUUUGUUUGUUUAAGGGCCAGUUAUUUAAAACGUUUGAUGGUGUCCUCUGAUAUCCAUUGCUUGACUUAUUAACAUGUUCUCUUAAUAUUCCUACAGUCGGCAAUAGCUAACAGCUUGCUGAAGUUGCUAUGCUGUGGUUUCUUCUAAACUUGUCUGCUAGUGAGGGACCUGGGGAGAUUCCCAUGCACAGAAAGAGGCAGGACUUCUCACAGGAAGGUUACACAAAGCAGACAGGAAUAAACUCCCUGGCUAAAGUGCUACUCAGACUAAAAUAGAUCCACAUCUAUUGGAAUUGACACGGAAGGCCAGUGGGGUUGGCACAUGGGGCAGGAGAAACACAAGAGUCCAAAUUGAGACGGGCUGGAGAUAGAGAGGGCUGUUUGGAAAUCAGGAAGAUUCUGCACUAGGAGGAUGAGGUGAGUUCCUGAUGGGGACUUUGCUCAAAGCCAUGUGUCCAUUGGAGACAGAAAAAAGAUGUUGUCUGACUAUCUAACAGGGGUCUCAGAUCUGUGCUGUUAGUACUCAUGGACUUCUCUCUGGAAAAUUCCACUGAGAUUCUUCUCUUUGAUGUCACUGCCCUCCACUGACGUAGGACUGGGCCAUCAGGAUACAUGACAGCAUAAAUGUUAGACUGACAAAUGACUACGAGUAAAGAAACAGGAAUCCUGGUUUGGAGAGGCUGUUCAAUGGGUGUGAAUGCUUGCUUCAAAGUAUAACAACUUGAAUUCAGAUCCCCUGCACAUAGGAACCAAAAACUAGGCAAGUGUGAUCUCAGCACCUUCACAGGUGAAGACAGGAGGAUACCAGAGCUUUGUUGGCUGCCAGCCUAGCUCCAGGUUCACUGUGAGACCCGAGGGAAUAGAGAAGAAAGUGAUAGACAGAACCAUCGAUGUCCUCGUGCGACCUCAACAUGUGUACACCUGCACAUAUACCACAAACACACAUGCACACACACAUACACAAGCGUACACAUACACACAUACACGCAAAUGCACACGUACUAAUAUACACAAACACACACACAUACAAACACACACACACAACACAACUGAACUUUGCAUCAAGAUUUUAAGACCUUAAUCACCACCCCAGAAAGCUUAGGCAGAGCUUCAAGGGAAAUUUUGUUUUAUGCCAGCAAUAACCAGCUUGCUUUCCUUAAAACAGACAUUAUUUUGUACUACAAAAAUAUUUUUAGGUUUGAGAAUUGCUGCUUGCUACAUAUUUCUCUCUUUCAGUAUCUGUUCUAUUCAUUAAUGUAUUCAAUCCUUCAAAGUUCUUCAGAAGGUAGCACAUUUCUUUUGUAUUGUGUGUGUGUAUGUGUUUGUGUGUAUGUGUUUGUAUGUAUUUGUACAUGUAUAUUCACAUGUAUGUGUACACUUGUGUGUGUGUGUGUGUAUGUGUGCUUAUUUCCACAAAAUAUCCAGAAUAACAGUUUAUCUAUUUAUAUUCCUAGUACUAUAACAGAAAUAUUCAAGCACCCACUGAGGUAUUUAAAAUACUAUUUCUACUUGAUCCUUUUUAAUGCUUAUUUAGUUUUUAAGUUUUAUUUAUUGAAAUUGUUCAUUUUUAUUUUCAUGUGCAUUGGUGUUUUGCUUGUAUACAUGUCUGUGUGAGCCUGUCAGAUCCCCUGGAACUGAAGUUACAGACAGUAGUGAGUUGUCAUGUAGGUGCUGAGAAUUGAACUUGGGUCCUCCGGAAGAGCAGCCAGAGUGCUCUUAACUGCUGAGCCAUCUCUCCAGCUCCAGCUUUAUUUAAUUUUAUUCAAUGUGUGUAGGGGUUUUACCUGCAUGUAUAGCUGUGUAGCACAUACAUGCAGUACAUAUAGAGACCAGGAAGAAGUCACAGAUUCGCUCUUGUACUCGUAUGCUGUCAUAUGGGUCCUCCAGGAGAGCAGCAAGGGCUUUUAACCAUUGAGUCACCGCUCUAGCCCACUACUUGAUCUUCUAAAAAUAAGUUCUUAUUUGUUUGUUUAACUUAAUGGGAGUGGAGUACAUACAUGCAUGCUGCUCAGAAGGCAACCUGUGAGAGUUGUUUCUCUGCUUCCACCAUGUAGGCUCUGAGGAAGCAACUAAGGUCACCGGGCCUGGCUGCAGGAGUCCUGCUUUACCCAAGAAGGUAUCUUUGCAGGCUGUUGAUCUUUUUACAUGGACGUGGACUUCUGUCUUUUCUGGGCUGCUCCCUUGAACACGUUGUAAAAUGCAUGUUUAUGUUUGAAAUCAAACUGACUUCCCUAUCAGCAGGGACCUGUGCUAGGUGUGACCUGGGAAAGGAUUAGCUGCAAUUCCUGUUUCUUCUGAAUCUCCCUUUCGAGAAUUUGCAGCUCAGCAGCUUCCUCGUUGGGACAGUGAGCAAGCAAAGGUGUUCAAUUGGAUCAGAGCGCAAGGACACCAGAAACUUCAACAAUCAAAACAAAAUUAUUCAGAGGAGCAAAGAGAAAAAUGAUGGUCCUUUUUCUCACUCUUAUAUUUCACUGCUACAGUUCCUGUUAAGCCAGGAUUGCCAAAGAUGAGUUAAACACAAAGCUGGUGCCGUAUUUUACUGUUCAUCCGUUAACUGGGAGCUCCUGCCCUUUCAGUACUGAGCUGUCCCGCCUCUCUGGUGUCUGACGUGUGAAUUGGAGGCUGGAAUGCAGGUCUAGCAGUUCCCUUGAAUAUAUUUUUUUCUGUUUG
rnacentral:lncRNA from 1 species